UGAUGAUGCCAGGUAGAGGAGGUUUGGGGCAGGACUUCCUGAGGUUUGGAAGGACCCAGAAGCUGUGUCCCCCCAACGGGUAGGUAGCACCAUUGGUGAGCCCUUAGAACCAGAUGGCUUCAGCAUGUGGAUUUAGCACAAAACAGACUGAAUCUCUGGGACACAGCUCAUCCAGCACAAGUGGAGCCAGCAGUAGAACUGAGAUAGAAGAACCUAUCCAGCACCAUACAUGUUUUUGCGAUCUCACAUAUCUGUUUAACUUUACCAUAGGUUCCAAACAUUCAUACGGGCUAAGAAGCAAAGCAAUGAAAAAACAAAGUUCUUCCUUCCCUGUCAGGUACUGUACAUCAGCAGCCAGCAAGGCAGUAGGAAAUGCAAACCCCAAAGGAACCAAAUCAUCUGUAGGAGAUGCUUCUGUUACACUGUGGUAUGACAAACAGCUCAUCUCCCUGAUCUAAAAUGAACACAUGCAAUGAAUUCAGCAUCAGGCCUCAUAAGAAGCCUGCUCUUCCCACACACAUAUAUUCACACCUCUCUAUUUUGCUCAUCCCCACCAACAGCCCUUGAGCUGGUUACCAUGGAUUUUAUAUACCAUCCCUGAGAUACCAUUAAAAAAAAAAAAAGAAAGAAAAAAAAAAGCUAGAACAAAAACAACAAACCAAGGUGGUAAUGCAAAUGAAUGUGCAAUUGUUGCUAAAAUAAGGAAAAAUACGAUCCCCAUUCAAUUAUGUAGAGAAUCCUGCUUGGAAACAAAACUGUGGGUAGUAUGUGAGCAUCAAGGUGACAUAAGGUGCCUCCUGUACUACCCAGUAACAGGUGUUAUAAUUAGCAUUAUAAUUAGCAUUUCCAAAGUAUUUCUGAAUUGCUUCCAGAAUUGCAAUGCUUAUUUGAUAUUGUACAACAACAGCUUUUAAAAAGCAUUUACGCUGAUUAACCAUCUUGAGCCUUAGCACUGUUGUUUGUUCACAGCUAACAGGUGUUCCCACAUUGCUUUUUCUAUGACCCAGCUCAGCCCUUGAGAAGAGGCUCUGCUGCAGCCUGUGGCAGCCUGGUUGUAUGUGGCUUUCAGUAUCCUCAGCAUCCACAUUCAGCUGAGUUACACAGAGACCAAAAAAGCAAAAAAUCACUGUAAAGCACCCUUCCUCUCAGUUAUCUUCCAGUGAAAGGUCAAGACUGCAUCUUCUCAUUUGAUUGCAUUGUCUGGCUCUUCUACCAGGCAGCUAUUUCAUGGUUUCAACAGGCCAUUCCUCAGUCAGAGGAUGAGAUGCAAGUUACAAAUCCUUCCUGUUGAUCCUCUGCUAUUCAGUUCAGACUCCUAAAAAUCUGGGCUAGGUACCUUAAUAUCACACAUAGAGAAAACAGAUACUGCAAUAUUACUCACAACAUCUAACCAGUGAAACAUGUUUUCCUCCACAAACACUUCAAGAACACAGUUCUGUCCCCAUCACUGUAGCAAACAAGGGCCAGACCGCUUUGAACAAGAUCUGGGUAUAGUGUUUUGACUUUGAAAAUUGAAUUUCAGGCUCCUAACUCCUCAGAGCGAACUGAGUCACAGUAAAUUCUACAACUCCUACAUUACCGUAAGUUCUAAUACAAUAAGAAAAAGCCAUUUCUAUCACCAGCUACACUUAACUUCUAAAUGAGAUAUUCCCACCCCUGUUUGCAUAACUAGUUAAUUUUCUGCAGUGGUUGGUUGGUUUUACUGCUGCUUCCACUUCAACUUGUCCUCUGCUCACCACAUCCAUCCCAGGUGCAUCUAACACAGCAAGCCUCUACCUCAGUCAGGGCAGGUGGUAAUGGGCAAUGCUUUAAAAAGUCCUGUAAGAUCUCCCUGAUCUCCCAUUCUGCCACUAAGUCCAAGUAUUAAGAACUGUUCUUAUGUGAGUUUGAAAUGUUUGAGAUUACAAAAGAUUAUUUUGAUAGCUAAAGUCCAAUGACAUACAUUAAUUCUUUUUUUUUUUUUAAUUAUUAUUUAAAAUCUUGUUUUGGAUUUACCAGGAUUAUUUGUUGAAGCUUAAUAUUGAAAUAAAUCUAAAUACACUUUUUUGUGUAUAACUACAAGUGCCUGCUCUUAAUCUAUAGACAUGCAAAUAUCUUCAAACAUUUCAAAGAAAACACAGUAAUGUACACUUAAUCUUGGAUGAUGGUAACACAACAAUUUAUAUUUGAAGGAAUAACCAUCAUUCCAAAAAUAAACAUCUGACACUUUCUCAAGUUUUUCUUCUCUUUUAAUUUGCAAACAGAUCUCUCUGUGUAUAUUAAGAACUUUUUUUCUCAGCUGUGCUUCUGUAGUUUCUUUUUUAAAAUAAUUUUGCUUUCCCCUUCCUAUAAGGCCUAUGAUUCCCAUUCCUAUGUAGCCUAGAACCUUGCUUCUAUGAAAAUUUGCUCUUCCUAUGGCCUUUCAAAGGUCUGACUGAGUUUAUAUUUACUUUUCCUAUAAAAUUGCUUAAAAUGAAGGCUACAAAGGUUCUUUCUAAAUACGCGUUUGGAGUUCCAUACUGCUGCUUAGUGUGCCUAGCAGUUGUGUGCUGUUUGUGUUCAGCAGGUAUUUGUAGGCAGUAAGUUUCUGCUAAGCAUGGUAAAACAUGCUGAUUUCAGUAAGGCAUCCAGCAUGAAAGAGGAAGGUCUUGAUCCUGUCUUGCUCUAGUCAGUAGAAAUUUUGCCUUUAAUUUUAAAGAACACAGCAGCACAUCCUUUUAUGCAUACAUUGUAUGCACAGUCCAUUUGUAUUUGUUCCAGUUCAACUUAUAAGGAGAAAUACAGAGGAAUACCAACUGACACUUUAAAAAGUGACUUCCAGAACAUUUUGAUCCUUUUCUUUCCUGCAAAGAAAAAAAUAUUUAUUUUUCAACAAAAUCCCGGUAUUUUGUGUGCUAUCUUGUGCCAUUCUGUUCCAUUUCUUAUGAGGUUAGUGAGCAGUUCUGCACGGUAGGCAUCCAGUCAGUAGCAGCAGAGCACAGGAGUACAGAUUACAAAUACCAAAAAUGUGUAUUUUUAAAACGUUUAUUUCAUUUGUAAUGAAAUGAGUUCUGCUCAAAUUUAUAAGUCAGUGAAAUAAUCCUAUAAAAUGAUUUUUGUAGGAAGUUAUAAGGCACAUAAAUUACCAAAUAUAAACAAAGAAGAGAAGCCAAAAUUAUGAACUAAGCCCCAAUACACCUUUAGCUAUUUUAGCGGUGUGUGAAUGAUUUACGAGAAUGUGAAUCACUCAAUUGACAGGGUAAUGAAUAUUUUAUAUUUGGCAUGACCAGCAGAAUUACAAAUAAGGGCAAGGAAAAGUGCGGAUUAAUCUUUUGAACCCCCCUUGGCUGUGCAUCCUGCUUGUACUAGCCAGCACUGUCAUCUGGGAGAGGAAAAGGCAACCUCUUGGCUUCCUCCUCUUUCUAUAUGGGGCAGCUUUGUCAGGAACAGAAAGGAUCAACACGCACAUCUAGCACUAAGCACUGUCUUUAGCUUUAAAGAGUACAGGGGUAGUGGGUCUUUCUUCUUGGGCUUUUUUUCUUUUUUUAAGUAAUCACUUUGGGAAGUUUGGCAUGCAACGAGUCUCUUUAUACUCCAUUAGUUAAAAAAAAAAUAUUGCAACACAUAAAAUACAGUCAAUGCGCAUUUCAAGAGGCAUUACUAAAUAAUUCCCCUUAAUACUUCUUUCCACCUGCAUAGAUAUAUUUUUCAACUAGCCUAACAGUCAAGGAUUCACUGCCAUAACAUUUUCAUACAAAUAUCUUGUGUACUUUCUUCCAUUAACAGUAUCCACUCCUUUAUGUAACUCUACGUAUACAUUCAUGUAUUAAAGAAUAAUAAUUUGGCUAAAAAUAUAUGUCUAUUUCUUAUAGGACUGUAGUGAUUAACCUAGCAGGGGUAUUUUGCUAUAAAAGAUACAGUACUAGAAAUAAAUAGUUCUAUGAUUCAGAGACCUUCAAAAUGGGUUGCCAUUUCCUGUCUGUCUUAAGUUUUCUGAAGUCCUUUUAACUCAUGAGCUAAAUUUACUACACUUGUGAAAAUAAUUUGGACCUACUUAUAUAGAGUCCUAAUUGCAGGGGAAGCUUAUUUCACUUAAUCUCCUUCUUGGUUUUGUAAUGGGCAGAAACAACCAGAUAGUUGUCUGGAUUCAUGUCCCUGAGAGUUGGAGACUUGCUCUGGAUUGGGGAGGUUUUCCCAUCCACUCGCGAGAUCUGCAGCAUUCGGCAUGGGUCGUGCUUCAGUAAAUAACCUGCAAAAGUCUCCCAUCCUCCUCCAACACGGACCAUCACAUGCUUGUUGUGAAGCAUCCUAAUAAAGAGAAUCUUCUCUCCAACUCUGUACCUUCCUUGUGAAAGGCGCUCCACACAGAAUUUAUUAGGGCAUUUGCAAGGAGGAUCUUCAGAAAUGUGUUUAACAGCAUCAUCCAACAGCUUCCCUGUGCUCUUUUUCCCAGGAGACUUUGUUGGUGAUGGUGAGGGAGACGGAAGGGGGGCUGACAGUGUUUCCUCUUGUUCAAUCUCUUUUUCCAGCUUUAUUAAUCCAGGAGGCUCCACCCCAAACCUUGCUGCAAUCCGUCCAAGUUCCAGCAAACAAAGGCACACUUCUCUAGGCUGCUUGUGCAGAACCAAACCUUCUGAUUCAAACAGGCAGGUGUCAUCCACCCCUA
rnacentral:lncRNA from 1 species